CCACAAUCUAUGUCUAGGAAGGGUGGGGCCGCUCAGGCUGCUAGUUGAGGUUGAGAACCACUGUCCUAGUCUGAAGGAACCUCUUGUGGAACAUUGGCAAGACCCUUACUGAGCAGAAGCCUAGCACCCUGAGCAUCCAGGAGAAGAAAAUAUUUGUGAUCUACGGGCUCAGUGAAGAAUUAUGGAGGACUUCAGGAUCUAGAAGGAAGCUUUGCAUGGAUUAGAUAAUUCAAUAAUAUUUAUCAAAUCAAAGUUGGGAGUCAAAAGAGAAUUUGGAAGCUUUGAUCAUCAGGAAAGAAGAUGGAGUUUAUUGACCCAAUGGAAGAGAAAAGCCACUUUUCUGUAAAGUGUAAGGCGUGGUAUCCAAGGCUACUCUCUGGAGACGACCAUAGGCUUCACCUGGGAGUUGUGAGAAAUGCAAACUCUCAACCCCAUCCCAGACCCUCUGAAUCAAAAGCUGCAUUUUAAAACAUGUCCUGUGCACAUUAAGCUUUAAGAGGCAUGGUUUUAGAGCACAGGCUUUGUAUCCCUGGAAUCAAAGUUCAAGUCUUUCACUUAUCAGCUAUACAAACUUAAGCAAGACAUGCGAAGUUUUUGAGACUCACUGUUUCUGUGAAACAGGCAUAUUCAUAUACACUACCUACUAGAGUUGUGAAGUUCAAAUGAACAAAAAAGAAUAUUGGACACAAGUCAUGGUGCCUGACUUUAUACAGUAAGAGUUUAAUUGUUUGAUGCUAUUAUUUUCUGAAAUUUCCAUCUCUUCAUUCAGGAAAAAAUGUUGGUUGGACAACGGACAAUCACCUCCUAUCAAAUCCAUAAUUUGAAGAUUGACUAAGUCACCUACUUUGCAUUCAGAUGUUGAUAAUUAUCAAGCCAGCCUAGGUUAAAACAAGUUUUUUACCUUUUACAAAUAUAUUUUUUUAAGAAUUGUGUAUCUUGGGGACAAAACAUUAUAAUAAGGUUAAUGAGAAAAGGAGCAACACAAAUCUGUUUUCAUUAAUCUUAACAGAGCUUUAAUCACAGCACAGGGGGAAACAGCUGCUCUGGAAGGGAGACUAGGAGCAGAUCAGUAGAAGCUGAUUAUCCAUUAAUGAGAGGGCUUUGGUGGGGAGCCCUGUGGAAAACCCACCAGACUCAAUCCUGCCAGCCAUUUGCUGAAGAGGUGGUGUAUAUGAAUCGCUUGUUUGAUGUAAAAAAUUCAAAACAGAUUCUUCUCAGCAGCCUGGGGACUGUCAUACAUCACUGAUCUCUUAUCUGUUUAUGUUAAGGAAAUAGCAUCCUUCAGUAAGUAAAUGUGUGUGGUAUUUAAUUAAACUCAUUGCUGAGCUCUGUGUGUGUGUGGCUAGUCCUCAUUUGGGGAUUAUCGGACUGUUGCAUUUUGCCUUUUUUCUCAUUUUUUCCUUCUUCUAGCAUUUCUUCCUCCAGCUCAGAAUUGCAGGAGCUUUAUGUUAUAUGGAGUAUCAUGGGAAGUACUUUAGCAUUUUUUUUAUUGCACACAUUAUUUAGAAAAGGAAACUGAGGCUCAGAGAGCUGAAGUCACUUGUCCAAUGUCCUCUAGCUUAAAGAAUUAUAUUAUUUAAACCUAGGUUCUGGGUGGUUUCAUAGCCUAAGCUUGUAACCACUUAUGCAAUAUGUGUAUAAAGUAAAAACUAACUAUGGUAUAUUGCGGUGGUUCUCAGAGUUAGUCCCCAGACCAGCAGCAUCAGCAUUGCCUGGGGACUUGUUAGAAAUACAAAUUGUUGGGCCCUGCCACAGAUCUAUCAGAAACUUAGGAAUGCAGCCUGGGAAGCCCUCUGAGUGAUUCAAAUGGAUGCUAAAGCUUGAGAGCCAUUGGUAUUUAGUUGGUAUGCUAGGUACUAAGAAUUUAGAAAGACAAAAAAAAAAUCGGUUCUUUGAUUUUGGGGAGUUCAGAGUCUAGUAGAGAAGACUAAAAUAUAAAGACAAUUAUAAUAAUAUUUUAUUAGUGUAUUAUAAGUGCAGUGAGAUAGUAUACACAAAAAAAUAGGAAAGUGCGGAUUAAGAUACUAACCUGGGUGGGAAGUGAAAGCUUAUUGGAAAAUGUGAUGCUUAAACUGAAUCUUAAAGCAUGAGAAGUCUCUGGCUGCAGUGACAGGAGAAAGUAUUUUAGGCAGGGGGACAGCAUAAACAGAAGAUGAAAUGAACAUGAAUACUGUCUAUGAAACAGCAGUCACUUUGGGGAUGCUGGAGUAGGAAGUAUAAUGAAGGAAGCAGUGAUGAGUUCAUGUGGCGGACAGUGAGCUGCCCUCUGUCACUCUGCAAUUUGACCCCCACCUGCUGAAGCUCAGGAGUUUGGCUUCUUGAAGCCCUGGCUUGGAUAUUUUACAGUCAUUUGUCAAUUUAUGGCAUUUACAACUGCCUUGUGGUUCCAGAUGAGGGGCACCACAUAUCACAAAGGCUUGUUCUUCAUGAUCUAUUGAGCACCCAGUAAUUCAUGCACGUUAUUUAUACCACUCACUCAUUUCUCCUUCUUUCUCAUGAAGUCGUCCAUGCCAUUAACAUUAGCUAGCAGACAUCAAGCUGCCUAGUGGAUAAAAUGUUGUUUGACAAGGGCUCAGUGGCUAGGGAUGUAACUCAUAGUUUUUAUCAUAAAUUUCAACUCAAUUAUUUGUUUUCCCAGGUAAUCUAUCAGUGAAUAAUAUACCCACAUCACAGGACUUUGGCCUGUGAAUUUGGUCUGUUUUCCAGACCAGUAUUUUAGCAUGGGCAUGGGUGACAUUUGAGCACUUAAAAUAAAAUAAUGCAGCUACAUUCUCUCUGGCAUGGUGGAAUGAACAUGGAAUUGGGAAUAAGAGAGACCAGGUUUCUAGCCCCAACUCUGUACUUUACAACUGUGUCCACUAAAUGACAUUGGAAGGCCUAUUUGUUAAUCCUGUGAAGCUUCAUUUUUUAAAAAUCUGCAUUGGCUCUCCAAAAUGUGCCUGGAAGUUGCUGCAAUUCUCAGAAUGUCUGAGAAGCUCCCCAACAGUCUUAGUCUGCAGCCAUGAGGCAAAUAAUUCUCAGCAAUUUUCUAGGAAGCUGCUUUGAUACUCACAUGUGCAUGUUCAUCUGGCAGCCACCACCUCCAGAGAAUAAAGCUUCCGAUUUACUUCCACUUUCCAGACUCCACAGAUGUUCCUCUCCUUGGCAAAAUGUAGCCCAGAUCUAAAUGGAAGGUGAUUCUGAGACAUGUAGUUGGCAACCUUAGCAGGACAUGGUGGUGCCACCCGGUUGAUAACAGACAUCUCAGCCCACUUUCCACUACACAGGAGCCAAAUGAUCUUCUUUAAAUCCCAAAACAGAGUAUUUCACAACCAGGCUUCAAAUGACUCAGUGGCUUCCCAUUUCUCUUAGAAUAAAACCCAAAUUCAUCCGGAUGGCCUGAAAAGCUUGUCCAGCCGAUCUCUUCAAUUUCAUCUAAUUCUAGCUUUCCCUUUCAUCAUUAUGUACAGCCAAACUGACUUUUAUUCCUUUUUUUUAACAUGCCAAACAUUUUACCACCUCAAAAUUCUUAUAGUUACUGUUCCUUCUGUUUAGAAUAUCUUCCACCUUGAUUUUUCUUAUCCUUUUAUCUCAACACUCUAAAGAGUCCUCCCCCAGUUUCUUUUUGUCGCCCCUUUUGUUUUCUUCAGUGGAUUUAUUGCAAUCUGCUCUUUUUGUGUGUUUAGUUAUUAUCUGUCACACUCACUGGAAUAUAAGCUCAGUGAAAGCUGGUACUAUAUUUAUCAAUUGCCCCCCUAGUUCUCUGUCUUGGCUUAGUUACCAAUUUUCCUCUUGGAACAUAGAUCAUCAUAGGCUGAAUUUGCUGCUUCAAAUAAUCAGAGGGCAUCAGUUUUUUUAGUGCUCAAGAUCCUAUAGUUAUUGUACCAGCCUUAAUGAAAGUACAAAGGAGAUAAGGGCAAGACGUGCUCUUUGCAAUGCUUAAACAGUUUUAGUAUAUCUCAAGCAAAGAAUCCUAAUAAAUCCAAAAUUCGACAGCUUUUUACUGUUGGUGUUCUACAACCUCUCUUUCCUCUCACUACCUGGAAUAGUCAGAAAUCUCAUGUUAAUUUAUGAACCCUGAUGUCAUCAUCAGGACUGGACUGUGGACUGAAAGAAGAUAAAUACCAAUAAUAAUUACCAAAUGUUGGAUAACUAUCAUAUGCCAACAAUAUGAUAAAUUAUUUAUGAACCUCACAAUAUUGCAUGGAAAAUAAUUAUCUCACUUUUCCAAAUUAUUUUUGUAAUUUUUCUAAUUUUUAAAAUAAUUUUCUAAUAAUUUUUAAAAAUUAUUUUUAUAAAAAUUAAGAACUUGACCAAAGUCACAGAGGUUAUUUGAGGUUAAACUAGGGUUUAAAUCUUGGUCAGUUUGGUUCUAACGCCCAAAUUUACUUCCCUGUUUCUGCCGUAUUCUAGGUCUCUUUUGAUUUUAUAAUACGUUGUGUUCGUGAUAGCAUUAUUUAUCUCACCCUGUAUUCACACUCUUUGUCGUUUUACUCUGGGUUAAGCUGUAAGACUGCUGUUUAGACUGGCUUUGGCCAAUAGAAUGAGGUAGGAGUUCUAGAUCUGAGCCUGGUCCUCACAUGAGUAUGCUCACCCUCUUAUUUGUCUGCCUAGACUAGUUCUUUGGUUUAGGAGAGAAUGAGAGACACAUCAAUGCAGAGCCAUCCUCAACUAGACCCAGCCAUGCUUCUCCAACCCCCCAAAAGGCUAUACUCAUGUGAGAGCUCAUCCAAGUACAGCAGUACAGCCCAGUUGAGCCCAAACAAGAUCAAUGAAGCCUCAGGAAACCAAACACAGUCAAUAAGCCCAACCAAGGUCAGCAGAACAGUCUAGCUGAGCCCAGCCUGGAUAAGCCAAUUCCUAGCUGACUCAUACGCUCAAAAAAAUGAUAAAUGAUUGCCAUUUUAACCAUGGUAUGCCGGGGUUGUUUCUUUCACAGUAAUAACAAAUUGAUACAGACACUAAUUAGCUCUGCAAAUGUGCUUAAAAAUAAUGCUUACAACCAUUUAAUAAGACUUUAUGUAUGAGACACAGUGCAGAACACUUUACAUUCAUUAUCCCUUUAGAUCUUAUUCAAAACCUCUCUGAGGGUUUCACAGAUGAGAAAAAUUAGAUGAAUAGAAAUGAAAUAACUUAGUCAAGUUUACACAGCUUGUUUAAGUGGCAGAGUUGGAAUUUAAACCUAAGUCUAUCUGGCUCUGAAGUUGUUCUUUUUUUGUUUUACCAGGUUGACUUUAUUCAUAAUCUAGACUUCACAUAGAAAAUAAUCAGCUGUGUGAAUAUGACUGAGUUCUCUGGGUCCAUUUUCUUCAACUACAAACUAGAGGGAACUAAAUAUCUUUUUUUCUUCUUACCUUCUUUGGUUCUAUGUUCCUACAUACAAAAGUUAUUUGAGGGCAGUUGGAGUUAAAGCAUGUAUGCAGUUUGAUGAUAAUGAUGAUGACGAUGACAAUGACAACAUAUAUCACAGAGAUGAAAGCAUGGACAUACUUUUUCCAAGAAAGAGAACUAAGACAAUUGUUGCAAGUGAGUGUAAAAAUUAACUCUGAAAACUUAUAUGUAAAACAGAGGAAUAAAUCUGGGCCACAAAAUCUUCCUUUCUAAUGCAAUAAACAACAACAACAACAGCAACAAAAAAGUGUCAGCCAAGAAUAUCAAAUUUAUCAAAUAAGCAAGAAACUAGAUAUAACGUGGGGCUUCAAAGAGCGGAUUUCAAGAUCUCAGCAGAGGCACAUGCCUUUGUGCACUCUUCUGCCCUCUCUCCUAUCUCUAUAUGCAACACAUAUACAAAGGACAUCUCUCUCUAUAUAUCUAUAUCUCAUACACAUAAACUAUCAUAUAUGUGCCAUUAUAUGUAUAUAUAUUCACAUACAUAUUCCAUAUAAAAUAUGGAUUCAAUAAUUAAGAGUUAAAAUAUGACUAAAUAAGAGAAUAAUAUGAAAAAGGAGAUAGAUGACAAAAUAAUACCAUUGUAGAACUAAUAUGUAAAUUAGGAACAACAAGAAACAGAUGAGACAUAUCAGGAAAUUGAAAUUAGUUACAAAAGAAAGCUUCGUGGUAUCAUAGGAAUUGUCAAUAAAGGGCUCUUAAAAAAUAAAAAGUUCUUAGAGACUUGACAAUACAUAGUGUGGUUACAUCGAACAGAACUGCAGCCACCCAGGCAUAAAGGGAAAUUUGCUUAUAAGGAGGAAAAUCAAAUUUACCUCAAUGUUCUCUGUAGCACCAAUUAUGCCAGAAGACAAUUGAGCCAAGUUUGCAUAAUUCUAAAAGAAAAUUAAACACAGUGUAAAAGUAUAUCAAAUACAAAGUCACAGGGAGAUAUUCUUGAACAAGAGCCCUUCUUAGCAAAAAUAAUUGAUGAAAUCCUGUAAACCAAAAAGGCAUUGUGAAGAGAACUAGCAAAGUAGUAAAGAAAUAUGUGUAAGCAGUUCAGAAAUACUUUUGCUGCCAGUGCAAUUCCUUUAUCUUUUGAUAAGUUAGAAAAAGUAUUUUAAAUAAUAUGAAAUAUAGUCCAUAACAGAAAUAUUUUAAGGCAUACAGAUUAUAAGAUAGUUAUAUAAUUUUUAUUCUCAUGGCUAUAUUAAGAUAGAUAUCUUGAAUACUAUGUAAUGUUAAUUAUUAAUAUUUAUAGAGGUGGUUUUAGAUGAUUUUAUUAACUUGUUAUUUGUUGCUAUUUCUUGAUUUUUGAAAAUAUGUACAUGUAAAUAUAUAGUUAAUUCAUCAUUAUUAUAUUUAAAGAGCAGAAGAAAAAAAUUAGAUCUUAAUGUGCACAUGUACCCUAAAACUUAAAGUAUAAUAAUAAAAAAAAAUUAGAUCUUAACUUACUAUAAGUAAGCUAUAAGUAAGAGAUGGUAGAGAUGGAGAAAUAGAAAAAGCAAUAAAGAAAACUUUCUGUUAGUGUGGCAUGGUAAAAGGAGCGUUCUCCUUCUAUGAGCAUCUGUUACCUAGUAGAUAUUAGGAAAAUCUGAUUUUCCUCCUUAUAAGCAACUUUCUCUUUAUACCUGGGUGCCUAGCAGGUCUGUUGCAGGUAACCACACUAUUGCCAAGUCUCGAAGAAUUUCUCUCUUAUUAUUGAUCAUCACUAUGAUAUCACAAAGCUUUCUUUUGUAACUAAUUUCAACUGGGUCUCUUGCUUUACUCUCUAUAACUUAGUUCCAUCAUCUACAUGGGUGGGGAUAUGUUGUUACCUCAGAGUUGGCUGUAGUAAUGAAAUGAAACAAUGUAUGUGAUAAGGUCAAAACAAUUUUAUGAAUAUGUUCACUUCUCUUCUCUCCUUCCCCUGACAAGCAGGAGUGUUCUGAUUUUCCAAGACAAAUCUUGGAUUAAAGGAUAGUUAAUGGAGAAUACAGUGAAGAGAAAAUGGAAAAUAGCAGGGAGUACAGACCGCCCUUGGUAGUGGAAUUGGUUACAUGUGUUUCAUUUGUUUAGGAAAAAAUGUGUCCAAAUUACUGUCUGCAGUUGUAACCUCCCAGUUCCCAUUCAUGUGGUUCUAGGGUGGGGCUGAAAUCUGGACUUGGGAGGUGGCACAUAUCUGCUUGUCCACGGUGAUUCAGAAAUAAACAAGUGGCAUAAGUCAGAUGGAACAGAGAGAUUCCAGGGUCUUUGAAGGGCCUGAGGAAGACGAUCUUUCUCUUCUGAAUCUGAAUCUAAGACACUGAAGCCUGGAACCACUCACCUCUGCAUCUUGCCAAUCAAAGAGAGAAGCCUCCUGAGAGUGGAACCAACACAAAGCCAAUAUCAGGAGGAAACAAUUCAACCCAUUGGAUCCAGCAGGGCUCAACUUUGUGUUACUGAGCUAAUUAAUCCCCUUUUAUUUGCAAGAGGAAGAGUUGGUUUAGCUAUUUGCAAUGCAAAGAGUCCUAAUUGAACAGAUGGGAUUGUUUCUCUUUGUCUUUACAUUUGUUUGUGUAUUUGUUUUUGUUUGCUUGUUUAGUACAGGUAUGGAAGUAACUACAGUGUGUGAGACCACAGAUGAGAUAAAAAGAAUAUUGAGAAAUAUUUCUGGACACUAUUGGUUUCCAGCGUGGAACCUGCCUGAUGAACUUCAAGAAAUAUAAGCAGAUGACUAACAUUAUUUUAAAAUUAGCUUUAGUGGUAUGAAUUUUACUUUUUUCUCCACUUUUUAGUACUCUAGGACUAAGAGCCAUUGUUUGUGAUUUUAUUGCUAAAACAUUGAAAACACCAUUUUAAGGGCUUUGCUCAUACCAUUCUCUUAUUUGGGAAAGUCAUAACUCUUUCCCUGCCUUCCCUGCUGCACAAGCUCCCUUUGUUCAGACUAUGCUCCUACCCAGGCUCCAGUACCACUCAGUUCCAGCAUUUCCCCAUCCAUUAAUGCCAACCUUUAGUUCACCAAAUGGGCUCCCCUGCAUGUCCGUGGCAACCACUUCUUACGUCUCUCAAUACAUUUGCCACUUGGUGAUACAAUAGUCUCCCACUAGGCUAUAAGCUCUUUGAAGACAGGAAUUCACCACAUCAUAUUUCUGUUUUUAGUACUUAUCACAGACCUGGCCUAUGGUAGGUGCAUGGGAAAUCUUCUUUUAACCUCCUUUCUCCCCUCAAAUUCACUCUCCCUAUUUACCUAUGCUAUCUUGUUUAUUGAUGGCAUCACCUCUUGCCCUGUGGUUCACACUCAGGUUUGGCUAAUGGGAAGCAGGAGAUAAAAGGGAGAGAAAGUGAGGUUGAGAUGUUUUUCUGUUGACUUUUUCUACCAACCCACCGUGGGUUGGUAGAAACUCUCUACUUGAGGCUAAUAAUGUGAUGUAUCUAUCGCCCACCAGGUUACUUAAGGGGUGUAUGUCUGCUGCCUAAACCCUAAAGGCUGGGUGCUGAACCAAGGCCCUGGUGCCCAGUGGAGGAGCAGGUAUCCCUGAGAACCCAAACAUUUGGAGAGUGUCUAAGAAUCUACCAAGAAAACUAGUCUCAUUGCUCAAACACAGUAGACAAAGAGCGAGAAAAGUAGCUUAAAAACAGUUUAGAGACAGAAGUAGUGCAGAUCUCUAGAGCUGUCCUGCUGUAGUCCAGGAGUACCCUGUAUGUAAGUUUUAAUAAACUCAUCUACUUGUCAAGCUGGACUUGUCUGAGUCAUUCUUAGGUCUCUCAGCACCUUCCCAGUUUGGGGGUGGGGGACAUUACAGUCCCAAGUCUUUCUUGUAACAAUUGGUGUCAUGAAUAGGAUCCAAGGAACCAAACGAUGAGUCAGGAAGGAGUGUGUGCAUGGGAAAUCCGGGGUGGUUUGCAACAUGCACCAAGGGUGGAGUUGCCUGACUGCUCAACCUCUGUGGGCCACCACGUGAGUACAAAGAUGCUCAGAAAACUUUGGCAGGGACUGAGCACAUACUGUAAGAAGCUAAGAUAUUAAAGUAUGGUAAGGACAGCAAAUAUGCUGUUGUUGCAAUAAAACUGGCUCUCAAAAAUUGUUACAGCAGGAAAGGGAGAAAGGGUAGAAACUCCUGCGAAAGUUCAAAGGCAUGCCAGGUUUUCUAGAACUCCAGCUGGUUAUAUAUUAUGGCCUAUUCUUGUGCAAAUUUAAAAACUGAUGGGGCCAGGCAAGGUGGCUCACUCCUGUAAUCCCAGCACUUUGGGAGGCCGAGGCAGGCGGAUCACUUGAGGUCAGGAGUUGAGAACAGCCUCACCAACAUGGUGAAACCCCAUCUCUACUAAGAAUACAAAAAUUAGCUGGGUGUGGUGGCACACGCCUAUAGUCCCAGCUACUAGGGGGGAGGCUGAGGCAUGAGAAAUGCUUGAACUCGGUAGGUGGAGGUUGCAGUGAGCUGAGAUUGCGCCACUGCACUCCAGCCUGGUGACAGAGCAAGACUCCAUUUCAAAAACAAACAAAUAAACAAACAAACAAAAACUGAUGGAAAAUUAUGACAAAGAAUUUCAGAGCUCAAAUGGUUAAUCUGCAGCUACAGCAUUAAGGAGAGUCUUUUAAAUGUCUCUAUUUCUCUUUCCUCUUCUACCUGCUUUGAAUCUGCUGUUACUAAGCUACCAAUGUUGAGAUAAAACUCACUAAUUGAAAGAUACUUGGAGAUUUUGUUUUUCUUAUAUUGUUCAACCAGUUGUAGCUAAAAUGUAAACAGUAAAAGCUCAUUUGAAACUGAAAAGGGGGUAAAAGAGGUUUUUUAAAAAUAAAACUGUUAUAGAAACUGUUUACCCAAAGUUUUGGUCCACAACCUUCCUUGGAUUGCCUAUUAGGGAAAAGUUUAGCCAUGUGAAUAGGUCCCAGUUUUGUCAAAUAUAAUUUGGAUCCAGCUGUCUGUUGUAAAAUAAUGAGAUUUGAUGCUGUCUCAUGGAUAAAGUUCUGAAGUAAAGCUAUUGGAUCUUUGUGUGUGCUUAUACAUGUUUAAAUGUGUUUAUAUACAUGUACAUGUACAUGUAGUGUUAUAUAUUGUGUCCAGCAUGCUACCAAAUUGGCUCAUAAGGAAAUGAGUACUUAUAAAUGAAAUAAGUCUGAAUGCUUUUUAGGUCCACAUGAAUUUAAUAAUUGUUAAUAAAUAAGCUAGCUUUGAAAUUAUUGGUAAGAUAAAAAGAAAAAUGUCUUCAAAAGUGUCAGACACAUUUUUGCCUGGGUUUACUCAUUAGAUAAGUUUUCUAUUUGCUUCUGCUAGAUAUUUUAAGGUGUCAGGGUUUGACAUAAAGUUGGUAAGACCCUAAACCCAGCCCUAGCCUGAAUGAUCUUUGUGUGAUUUUUUAAUAAGCAAGACUAAUUUGAUAUUGUUGGUUUAAUAAAAAUAGCUACAUUGUCUGAGUUAUUGGCAAAACACAUGUCCACGUGUUUAGCUUUAAGGUUCUUGCUUAGAUGAAUAUCUAAUAUUUACAGUCUAUAAAAAUAAUUAAUAAAA
rnacentral:lncRNA from 1 species